rnacentral:rRNA from 1 species
UACGUAGGGGGCAAGCGUUGUCCGGAAUCAUUGGGCGUAAAGCGCGUGUAGGCGGCCUUGUAAGUCCGUUCUGAAAGCCCGGGGCUCAACCCCGGGAGGCGGAUGGAUACUGCAAGGCUCGAGUCCGGAAGAGGCGAGUGGAAUUCCCGGUGUAGCGGUGAAAUGCCCAGAUAUCGGGAGGAACACCAAUGGCGAAGGCAGCUCGCUGGGACGGUACUGACGCUGAGACGCGAAAGCGUGGGGAGCAAACAGG